rnacentral:rRNA from 1 species
GACGAACGCUGGCGGCGUGCCUAAUACAUGCAAGUCGAACGAACAGCGACUUUAACUUGUUCCAGUCAAUGUUAGUGGCGCACGGGUGAGUAACACGUGGAGAACCUACCCUUAAGCGGGGACUACCAAUGGGAACGGAUACCAAAUACGCCAUGAAUCACAGACCACGUGGUCAACGGAAGAAAGGCGGCCUUGGCCGUCAACUUAAGGUUGGCCCGGUGGUGGAUUAGCUAGUUGGUGGGGUAAAGGCCUACCAUGGCAAUGAUGCAUAGCCGACCUGAGAGGGUGAUCGGCCACAUUGGGACUGAGACACGGCCCAAACUCCUACGGGAGGCAGCAGUAGGGAAUCUUCCGCAAUGGACGCAAGUCUGACGGAGCAACGCCGCGUGUGUGAAGAAGGUCUUCGGAUCGUAAAGCACUGUUGUUAGAGAAGAACGACCGGUAGAGUAACUGUUACCGGAGUGACGGUAUCUAACCAGAAAGCCACGGCUAACUACGUG